UGUUAAAUCAGACUUUGCAAACAAUUCCUAGGCAAAACUUAAAAGGCCUGAAAGCAUUUUUUAGAAGCUAUUUACAAGGCCUGAAUUA
rnacentral:pre_miRNA from 1 species